rnacentral:misc_RNA from 1 species
UCCCCGUUACCGGGGCAGUCUGGCUAGAAAAAUUCAACUAACCAUAAGGGUUGCGCUCGUUGAUGGACUUAACCAAACAUCUCACGACACGAGCUGACGACGGCCAUGCAACACCUGUCACUGGGUUCAAUAAAGCACUCUUUCCUUUCGGAAAGAUUCCCAGGAUGUCAAGCCUUGGAUAAGGUUCUUCGUUUACCGUCGAAUUAAACAACACGCUCCACCGCUUGUGCGGGUCCCCGUCAAUUCCUUUAUGUUUUAAGCUUGCGCUCGUACUCCACAGGCGGGAUGCUUAACGCGUUAGCUUCGCUACUACCAGGGUCGAUACUGGUAACAGCUAGCAUCCAUCGUUUACGGCGUGGACUAC